AUGAUACAUAUUGGUGGCUAAGACUUGGUACUUCCCCGGACACCUCAGUAACUGCUUUUAUGUAUUUAGAAUUUUGAAGAUUUCCUUCAGCGUGUUCUUUUUUACCAUCCAUGGUGAUGGAAACUUUUCAUGCCCUUCUUUAGCUGGGUAUUAGGACUCCAUUAUUGGUGGAAUUCAUUCUUGUGUUUAUAUAUUUUAACUAAAUUAACCCUUUUUCUCUAGUAUACUACCUCUUUUUCAAAGAAUAAUACUCGUCAUUUGGCUAAUUCUAAGAUUAUUGUGACAGCAUAUUUGGUUCUUAAU
rnacentral:misc_RNA from 1 species